rnacentral:rRNA from 1 species
GACGAACCGUGCGAACGUUGUUCGGAAUCACUGGGCUUAAAGGGCGCGUAGGCGGGUGUGCAAGUCUGUGGUGAAAGCCCCCGGCUUAACCGGGGAAGUGCCGUGGAUACUGCACAUCUUGAGGAGGGUAGGGGCAUCUGGAACGGUCGGUGGAGCGGUGAAAUGCGUUGAUAUCGACCGGAACUCCGGUGGCGAAGGCGAGGUGCUGGACCCUUUCUGACGCUGAUGCGCGAAAGCCAGGGGAGCAAACGGG